rfam:Picea glauca, whole genome shotgun sequence.
GGAACCCUAGCCAAGUGGCUAAAGAGGGAGUCUGCAAAACUUCUAUUUGAUGGUUUGAAUCCGAUCGGUUCUU